UUAAAACUUGUCUGGUGCUCUCAGAAUAUUCUGGAGGUUUUUGCAGUGAAUGAGAAUGAAUUAUUGUGGAGGAUUUUUGGUGGAGGAACCAAACUGAGAGUUGAAAUUUUAGUGCAGGAGGUUUUUGUACAGUCGCUGAUUGGGUUUGUAUCACUGUGGUACACGUUCGGUGGAGGAACUCGACUCUCAGUUGGAACUGUCACUCGUCCCACUCUCACAGUCCUGCCGCCCUCCAGAGACGAGCUGCAGCAGGGUAAGGCUACAGUGGUGUGUGUGGGCAGUAAGGGAUUCCCCUCUGACUGGAAGCUGAGCUGGAAGGUGGAUGGCAGCAGCAGGAGCUCUGCUGUGAAUCUGAGUCCCAGUGUGCUGCAGAAGGAUGGACUGUACAGCUGGAGCAGCAGCCUGAGCCUCACUGAGAGUGAGUGGAGGAGAGCAACAACCAUCAGCUGUGACGCCACGCACCCAUCCCAGAAUGCAGUGACCGAGAGCCUGAACACACAGCAGUGUGAUGACCAGUGAAACACACACAGAUCACACAUAGAUUAUAGGCAUGCAUAAUUCAUUUACACACACACACACACACACACACACACGCGCGCGCGCACAUAAACUAUUAUAAAGGGCUGUCCUAAAUCAGUCAAUGCUCAAAAAUUAAUCUUUCAUCCUGUUAGUAUUUUGUUCUUCUUAUCUGUUGUAACAGCAAUGAUGUGUUUGUUUGUUUUUUGCUUCCUAAUAAAAGCAUUUUGACUCAAA